UGCUCAAAUGAUGCUUAAGGGCCACACCUAUAGGUCGUUCAAGUUUACACCAGGUACAUUGGAAUGCAGAGAGGCUUGUCUCGCUGAUGACAGAUGUCAAAGCUAUAAUGUCGUCAUGUUCAUUGCAAUAUGUGAGUUAAACAACCGAACUAAAGAGGUCAGACCAGAGGACUUUGUUAAGGACGAGGACAGAUAUUACAUGGCGAAAGGUCCAAAACGAGUUCCCCUUGGAUCAACCCGUGAGCUCCCUGCCAGAUCGUGUCAGGAAAUCAAGGCAAGUGAAGGAGGACAGGCAGUCAGCGGUAAUUAUUGGCUGGACUCUACCAGAUCUGGGAACUCUAUUUUAGCUCGCUGUGACAUGAGGACAGAAGUUGCAGACUACUGUGUCAAGCAUAGAUGCCAAAACGAUGCAAAAUGUGUGAACCAGGAAACGAACUACUCGUGUACGUGUAACUCAUCUGGUUGGACAGGAACAUUUUGUGAAAAAGAUGUCAACGAAUGCAAGGAAGGUCUGAAUAGAUGUCAUGCUAACGCCACUUGUUACAACACUGAGGGAUCCUACAAUUGUUCAUGUAAAACAGAAUUUCUUGGAGACGGAAGAAAUUACUGCAAAGCUAUGACUCACGAUUAUGACUGCUGGCGCAGCCAAUCCAAAAGUCCAAGUCGGAACUGGGGCUACUAUUCUAAAAUCGACGCAAUCGAUUUACAAACAAGAGUAGCGUCACCCUGCUGGGAUACCGUCUGUGGGGAGUCAAUAGCGGUUCAACCACUUUCCAGGUCACCAUCCGAUUGUAUCGUGGAAGUUCCUUGAUCGCAGACUAACAACUGGAUCCUACUACACCACAUCCUCAGUUAAGGCGUUUGAAGUUCGUUUUUAUUCCGGGAUUUCUCUUCGUGCAGGUGUAGUAUACACAGCAACAUCUAAACUAACCACCAGCGGUCGUCACACUCAUGCUCACAAGGAUAGAAUGUCAAGUGCUUCAUGUUCUGGUAUCACCGUUACGCUUAUGCAUUCUUCCAAAGAUAAUAACGGAUCAGGUGUAUCCGGUGUCCAAAUACCAGUGCUGAUCCUCCGUUCCAGUCACUGCUAAAAGAAAAUUCAGUUUGCGACUCAUGCCCAGCCAAGUGGACUGAACAUUAGACAAAACCUUUGAAAGGUCAUUCGCAAACAACGUCAAAGAGGAGGAAGGUUAAGAGCAAUGACUGUAAUAAAAAGCCAAGGAAGUGAAACGUUUGUAACAGGAGGCAGAAAACUGUAAUAAACAACUACUCAAUACAGGAGUCAAACGCCGGAAGAAAGAGAGACUGUUUAUAAUCAAAGAUGUCACGCUACUUCGUUACUGUUUUGA